rnacentral:lncRNA from 1 species
AAUGAUAAAAAAAACUAAAGGCAAUAAACAAAAGUAAAGGGGGUGACCGAAGUCACCCCUAAUUCAUGUACCACAUAUGGGAUAAAAAUCCCUAGAACCAAAAUCUCAUUUUCUUCUCAAUUCCUUUCUCUUCACGCGGCAGGGAUGGCCAUGGAAUGAAGUCCGUUUUCUUCCUUCUUUACAAUCGGCGGUGGUCACGGUGAGAUGCGGUGGUCCAUCUACGAGGAAGUGGUUUGGAGGGUUCUGUUACCCCUAUUCUUUCGCACAA